UACGAAGGGGGGCUAGCGUUACUCGGAAUUACUGGGGCGUAAAGGGCGCGUAGGCGGCUCGACCCAGUCAGGCGUGAAAUUCCCUGGGCUUAACCCUGGGGACUGCGCUUGAUACUGUCGAGCUUGAGGCCGAGAGAGGGUGGUGGAAUUCCCCAGUGUAGAGGUGAAAUUCGUAGAUAUUGGGAAGAACACCGGUGGCGAAGGCGACCACCUGGCUCGGGUACUGACGCUGAGGCGCGACAGCGUGGGAGCAAACAGG
rnacentral:rRNA from 1 species